rnacentral:rRNA from 1 species
GAUGAACGCUAGCGGCAGGCUUAAUACAUGCAAGUCGAGGGAAAGUAGUUUUCGGACUAUGAAGACCGGCGCACGGGUGCGUAACGCGUACACAACAUACCUAAUACUGGAGCAUAGCCUCGGGAAACUGGGAGUAAUUCUCCAUAGCAUUUUAGAGUGGCAUCACUUUGAAAUUAAAGCUCAGGCGGUAUUAGAUUGGUGUGCGUAUGAUUAGUUUGUUGGCAGGGUAACGGCCUACCAAGACUACGAUCAUUAGCUGGCGUGAGAGCGCGACCAGCCACACUGGAACUGAGACACGGUCCAGACUCCUACGGGAGGCAGCAGUGGGGAAUAUUGGACAAUGGGCGCAAGCCUGAUCCAGCAAUGCCGCGUGUGUGAAGAAGGCCUGCGGGUUGUAAAGCACUUUCAGUGGGGAAGAACGGGCCAAGGUUAAUACCCCUCGGCUUCUGACGUUACCCACAGAAGAAGCACCGGCUAACUCCGUGCCAGCAG